GGAGUGCUCGAAAGAGAACCAGUACACAGGUGCUGCAUGGCUGUCGUCAGCUCGUGUCGUGAGAUGUUGGGUUAAGUCCCGCAACGAGCGCAACCCUUGUCAUUAGUUGCUACGAAAGGGCACUCUAAUGAGACUGCCGGUGACAAACCGGAGGAAGGUGGGGAUGACGUCAAGUCCUCAUGGCCCUUAUGGGUAGGGCUUCACACGUCAUACAAUGGUACAUACAGAGCGCCGCCAACCCGCGAGGGGGAGCUAAUCGCAGAAAGUGUAUCGUAGUCCGGAUUGUAGUCUGCAACUCGACUGCAUGAAGUUGGAAUCGCUAGUAAUCGCGGAUCAGCAUGUCGCGGUGAAUACGUUCCCGGGUCUUGUACACACCGCCCGUCACACCAUGGGAGCGGGUUUUACCAGAAGUAGGUAGCUUAACCGCAAGGAGGGCGCUUACCACGGUAGGAUUCGUGACUGGGGUGAAGUCGUAACAAGGUAGCCGUAUCGGAAGGUGCGGCUGGAUCACCUCCUUU
rnacentral:rRNA from 1 species